GAUGAACGCUAGCUACAGGCUUAACACAUGCAAGUCGAGGGACCGGCGCACGGGUGAGUAACACGUAUCCAACCUGCCCUUUACUCGGGGAUAGCCUUUCGAAAGAAAGAUUAAUACCCGAUGUAAAGGAUGGGGAUGCGUUCCAUUAGGUUGUUGGUGAGGUAACGGCUCACCAAGCCUUCGAUGGCUAGGGGUUGGGAGAGGCAGGUCCACCACAUUGGAAACGCGGCCCGGUCCAAACUCGUACGGGAGGCAGCGGUGAGGAAUACAGGGGAAUGGGCGUUAGCCUGAACCAGCCAAGUAGAGGGAAGGAUGCAGGCUUAUGAGUCGUAAACUUCUUUUAUAGAAGAAUAUGUAUUAUAAGAAUAAGGAUCGGCUAACUCCGUGCCAGCAGCCGCGGUAAUAC
rnacentral:rRNA from 1 species